AUUGAACGCUGGCGGCAUGCCUUACACAUGCAAGUCGAACGGUAACAGGUCUUCGGAUGCUGACGAGUGGCGAACGGGUGAGUAAUACAUCGGAACGUGCCUAGUAGUGGGGGAUAACUACUCGAAAGAGUGGCUAAUACCGCAUGAGAUCUACGGAUGAAAGCAGGGGAUCGCAAGACCUUGUGCUACUAGAGCGGCCGAUGGCAGAUUAGGGAGUUGGUGGGAUAAAAGCUUACCAAGCCGACGAUCUGUAGCUGGUCUGAGAGGACGAUCAGCCACACUGGGACUGAGACACGGCCCAGACUCCUACGGGCGGCAGCAGUGGGGAAUUUUGGACAAUGGGCGCAAGCCUGAUCCAGCAAUGCCGCGUGCAGGAUGAAGGCCUUCGGGUUGUAAACUGCUUUUGUACGGAACGAAAAGCCCUGGGUUAAUACCCUGGGGUCAUGACGGUACCGUAAGAAUAAGCACCGGCUAACUACGUGCCAGCCGCCGCAGUAAUAC
rnacentral:rRNA from 1 species